UCCUGCCCAGUGACAUAGUUCAACGGCCGCGGUAUCCUAACCGUGCAAAGGUAGCAUAAUCACUUGCCCAUUAAUUGUGGGCUAGAAUGAAAGGACCAACGAAAUAAAAACUGUCUCUAUAAGUCACAUAAAAAUUAAUCUCUAACUGAAGAGUGUUAGAUUCCAUCGAAGGACAAGAAGACCCCAUAGAGCUUCAUUUUAACAAAGAUCAACUCUUCACUAAAAUUCGGUUGGGGCGACCAAGGAUAUACCAAUCAUCCUUAAAUAAAAGACCAAUUAUUCUAAAAAAGACCCUUAAACAAGAUCAUAAAAACAAGCUACCUUGGGGAUAACAGGCUAAUCCUGCUAGAGAGUCCUUAUCAAUAGUAGGGGUUGGCACCUCGAUGUUGGCUUAGGGUAUCUAUACGGCGCAAAAGUUGUAUAAAGAUGGUUUGUUCAACCAAUAACACCCUACAUGAGCUGAGUUCAGACCGGCGCAAGCCAGGUUAGUUUCUAUCCACGACAAAACCUCUAUCUAUAGUACGAAAGGACCUGGAUAAGAGUAAUUAUUAUUAAACGAGAGCAAAUAUAAUACCAGAUAAACCCUAAUAAACGUAAACUACGA
rnacentral:rRNA from 1 species